CGGAAGUCCCUAACAGAAACAAAGCCACACGCACAAAUCCCCAAGUCACUGGCAGGGUGUGGUGUGGCUGCUCCUGCUGGACACUGAGGGACAGCCCCCCAGCAAGCAGUCAAUAUCUGAUCUGAGGCCAGCAGGAGAGGAGCCUGAGCUCACUGUUCAGAGAGCUGGAGGUAGGGGGAUCGUGUUCCUGGCAGAAGGAACAGAAAGUCCAAAGGCCCUGAGGUACUAAAGGCCUUGGCCUAUGAGAGGGUCUGUAUUCAUGAGGAAAGAUGGAGGGGGUCAGAAAGUGGAGAGGAUUCAGGCUAGCUCUCAGAUCUGCCAGACCUAGGGCUGCAAUGUCUUAGGGAUGAGAUAAAAGCAUUGUUAUGGUAACUCUUGCCAUAGUCUGCUCCUAAUUUAUAGGAGGCUCCAGAGAGGCCACGCAGCUCGGGAGUGGAUAAAUUAUGAUUCAAACCUCUGAGUCACUUUACAACUCUUCCCAAGCUGCUUCUCUGAUUACUUUGUGCGUGAGCCCAUAGUCCUGGUCACAACCCUUGGAGGCCUUGAGUAUUAUUUAUUAUUGAGGCAGACAGCAGCCUUACCUGGCUGGUGUAGUUAGUUCCUCUACCACUGAUAUAAUGAAUGUAUUUGCCCUUCCCAGCUCUCUUCCUGGUCUCCAAAGAGGAAGCCUUAGGUUGGUGCUUGCCAGCCCCGGUUAAUCUCUACCCUGAACCCAAGAGAAAACAGGCUUUACAAGGCGCUCUGUCUCCAUCAGGGGCUGGAUCGGUGAAUGGAUCGGGUUCCUGUGGACCUUCUAGAAGGAAAAGCAAAAAUCAAUAUUUGACUAUCUCUUGAGGUUGUUCGUGUUUCUAUCAACCAGGGACCCAGCUUCUAUCCACUCACGCUUCUGCCUGACCCAGGCAUCCUCCUCUCUCCC